rnacentral:rRNA from 1 species
GGGGAUUUUGGGCGUAAGAGCUCGUAGGUGGCUUGUCGCGUCUGCCGUGAAAACCCGAGGCUCAACCUCGGGCGUGCGGUGGGUACGGGCAGGCUAGAGUGUGGUAGGGGAGACUGGAACUCCUGGUGUAGCGGUGAAAUGCGCAGAUAUCAGGAAGAACACCGAUGGCGAAGGCAGGUCUCUGGGCCAUUACUGACACUGAGGAGCGAAAGCAUGGGUAGCGAACAGGAUUAGAUACCCUGGUAGUCCAUGCCGUAAACGUUGGGCACUAGAUGUGGGGGACAUUCCACGUUUUCCGCGUCGUAGCUAACGCAUUAAGUGCCCCGCCUGGGGAGUACGGCCGCAAGGCUAAAACUCAAAGGAAUUGACGGGGGCCCGCACAAGCGGCGGAGCAUGCUGAUUAAUUCGAUGCAACGCGAAGAACCUUACCUAGGCUUGACAUGCACCGGACGAUUCCAGAGAUGGGGUUUUCUUCGGACUGGUGCACAGGUGGUGCAUGGUUGUCGUCAGCUCGUGUCGUGAGAUGUUGGGUUAAGUCCCGCAACGAGCGCAACCCUUGUUCUAUGUUGCCAGCACGUGAUGGUGGGGACUCAUAGGAGACUGCCGGGGUCAACUCGGAGGAAGGUGGGGACGACGUCAAAUCAUCAUGCCCCUUAUGUCUUGGGCUUCAAGCAUGCUACAAUGGUCGGUACAAUGGGUUGCGAAACUGUGAGGUGGAGCGAAUCCCAAAAAGCCGGCCUCAGUUCGGAUUGGGGUCUGCAACUCGACCCCAUGAAGUCGGAGUCGCUAGUAAUCGCAGAUCAGCAACGCUGCGGUGAAUACGUUCCUGGGCC